rnacentral:rRNA from 1 species
GUGCCAGCAGCCGCGGUAAUACGUAUGGGGCAAGCGUUGUUCGGAUUCACUGGGCGUAAAGGGCGUGUAGGCGGUGAGGUAAGUCGGAUGUGAAAUCUCUGGGCUCAACCCGGAAAUUGCAUUCGAUACUGCCUCGCUAGAGUACCGGAGAGGGAGACGGAAUUCCUGGUGUAGGGGUGAAAUCUGUAGAUAUCAGGAGGAACACCAGUGGCGAAGGCGGUCUCCUGGCCGGAUACUGACGCUGAGGCGCGAAAGCUAGGGGAGCAAACAGGAUUAGAUACCCUGGUAGUCCUAGCUGUAAACGUUGUGCACUAGGUGUGAGUGGCUUGUCCACUCGUGCCGAAGCUAACGCAUUAAGUGCACCGCCUGGGGAGUAUGCUCGCAAGGGUGAAACUUAAAUGAAUUGACGGGG